UACGUAGGGUGCGAGCGUUAAUCGGAAUUACUGGGCGUAAAGCGUGCGCAGGCGGCUUCGCAAGUCAGGCGUGAAAUCCCCCGGGCUCAACCUGGGAAUGGCGAUGGUGACUGCAAGGCUAGAGUUUGGCAGAGGGGGGGUAGAAUUCCACGUGUAGCAGUGAAAUGCGUAGAUAUGUGGAGGAACACCGAUGGCGAAGGCAGCCCCCCUGGGUCAAAAACUGACGCUCAUGCACGAAAGCGUGGGGAGCAAACAGG
rnacentral:rRNA from 1 species